CACGUAGGGUGCGAGCGUUGUCCGGAAUUAUUGGGCGUAAAGAGCUCGUAGGCGGUGUGUCGCGUCGGCCGUGAAAACCUGCAGCUUAACUGUGGGCUUGCGGUCGAUACGGGCAUCACUGGAGUUCGGCAGGGGAGACUGGAAUUCCUGGUGUAGCGGUGAAAUGCGCAGAUAUCAGGAGGAACACCGGUGGCGAAGGCGGUUCUCUGGGCCUGUACUGACGCUGAGGAGCGAAAGCGUGGGGGAGCGAACAGG
rnacentral:rRNA from 1 species